UAGCGACAGGCCUAACACAUGCAAGUCGAGGGGCAGCACAAGGAGCAAUCUGAGGUGGCGACCGGCGCACGGGUGAGUAACACGUAUGCAACCUGCCUGUAAGCGGGGAAUAACCCGUUGAAAGACGGACUAAUACCGCAUAAUACUAAAUUACUGCAUGGUAAUUUAUUUAAACAUUUAUGGCUUACAGAUGGGCAUGCGCAUGAUUAGCUAGUUGGAGAGGUAACGGCUCCCCAAGGCAACGAUCAUUAGGGGUUCUGAGAGGAAGGUCCCCCACACUGGUACUGAGACACGGACCAGACUCCUACGGGAGGCAGCAGUGAGGAAUAUUGGUCAAUGGACGAGAGUCUGAACCAGCCAAGUCGCGUGCAGGAAGAAUGUCCCUAUGGAUUGUAAACUGCUUUUGCAGGGGAAUAAAGUGCAUCACGUGUGAUGUUUUGUAUGUACUCUGCGAAUAAGGAUCGGCUAACUCCGUGCCAGCCGCCGC
rnacentral:rRNA from 1 species